rnacentral:rRNA from 1 species
GACGAACGCUGGCGGCGUGCUUAACACAUGCAAGUCGAACGGAAAGGCCCUGCUUUUGUGGGGUGCUCGAGUGGCGAACGGGUGAGUAACACGUGAGUAACCUGCCCUUGACUUUGGGAUAACUUCAGGAAACUGGGGCUAAUACCGGAUAGGAGCUCCUGCUGCAUGGUGGGGGUUGGAAAGUUUCGGCGGUUGGGGAUGGACUCGCGGCUUAUCAGCUUGUUGGUGGGGUAGUGGCUUACCAAGGCUUUGACGGGUAGCCGGCCUGAGAGGGUGACCGGCCACAGUGGGCCUGGGAAGCGGCCCAGACGCCUACGGGGGGAAGGAGGGGGGAAUAUGGGAACAAGGGCGGAGGCCUGAAGAAGCCCCGCCGGGGGGGGAAAGCCGGCCUUGGGGUUGAAAACCUCUUUCGCGUGUAACGAAGCGUGUGGGAGGGAAAUGGGUAAAAAAGCACCGCCAAACAAGGG